UACGGGAGGAGCGAGCAUUGUUCGGAAUUACUGGGCGUAAAGGGCUCGUAGGUGGCCAACUAAGUCAGACGUGAAAUCCCUCGGCUUAACCGGGGAACUGCGUCUGAUACUGGAUGGCUUGAGUUCGGGAGAGGGAUGCGGAAUUCCAGGUGUAGCGGUGAAAUGCGUAGAUAUCUGGAGGAACACCGGUGGCGAAGGCGGCAUCCUGGACCGACACUGACGCUGAGGAGCGAAAGCCAGGGGAGCAAACGGG
rnacentral:rRNA from 1 species